rnacentral:rRNA from 1 species
AUACGGAGGACGCGAGCGUUAUCCGGAUUCAUUGGGUUUAAAGGGUGCGCAGGCGGCCGUGCAAGUCAGCGGUGAAAGCCCGGGGCUCAACCCCGGAAGUGCCGUUGAUACUGCAUGGCUGGAAUGCGGUCAAGGCGGUCGGAACGUGGCGUGUAGCGGUGAAAUGCGUAGAUAUGCCACAGAACGCCGAUAGCGGAGGCAGCUCGCCAGGCCUGCAUUGACGCGCGGGCACGAAAGCGUGGGGAUCGAACAGGAUUAGAUACCCUGGUAGGCCACGCCGUAAACGAUGGGCGCUCGUCGUCGGCGGCAGACAGUCGGCGGCCAAGCGAAAGCGAUAAGCGCCCCACCUGGGGAGUACGGUCGCAAGGCUGAAACUCAAAUGAAUUGACGGGG